UGGGGAAUAUUGCACAAUGGGCGCAAGCCUGAUGCAGCCAUGCCGCGUGUAUGAAGAAGGCCUUCGGGUUGUAAAGUACUUUCAGCGGGGAGGAAGGGAGUAAAGUUAAUACCUUUGCUCAUUGACGUUACCCGCAGAAGAAGCACCGGCUAACUCCGUGCCAGCAGCCGCGGUAAUACGGAGGGUGCAAGCGUUAAUCGGAAUUACUGGGCGUAAAGCGCACGCAGGCGGUUUGUUAAGUCAGAUGUGAAAUCCCCGGGCUCAACCUGGGGACUGCAUCUGAUACUGGCAAGCUUGAGUCUCGUAGAGGGGGGUAGAAUUCCAGGUGUAGCGGUGAAAUGCGUAGAGAUCUGGAGGAAUACCGGUGGCGAAGGCGGCCCCCUGGACGAAGACUGACGCUCAGGUGCGAAAGCGUGGGGAGCAAACAGG
rnacentral:rRNA from 1 species